UUCGUUCCAGCAGUCUGGAGGCUCGUUGGUUGCAGCUCUCAUUUCGCUGGAGCACUAGUCAAAAUAAUUGGGUUAACAAUCGUGCCCUUUCUUUCUUUCGGUCUGUUAGGGUUGCCCACCCACCCUUCCGCUCUCUCGCCUCAAAAUGGAGGUUUCCGUUCGUUUAUUCGGAUCGACCGCCGCUCUCCAUCGCCAAUUCCGGCUGAUCACCGUCCCCUCCUUACCUCUCCCCCUCCCAAACUCUAGAUUUCCUCCGGUUGGCAGCAGCGGCUGCGGCUCUCCGACGCCGUUCGUCUUCCAUCCGUGCUCUCGACUCGCACGACGAUCCGCCGCCGGCCUUUGCUCCUCCCCGCCGCGAUUGGCCAGUUCCUCCCUCUCUCUCCCACCUCUCCUCUCCCUCUCCCAUCUCUUCGCCUCUAUGUCUCCCCAAGAGGGAGCCCUCGCCUCCGAUUCGGGUUUCAAGGAGGGCUUCGUCAACUGGGGUCGAGAUCGGGAUGUCCUGGAGGGGGGAGAUUUAGGGCUUUACAGCGAGAAGGGAGCGAUUUGGAGGGUCGUGAUGCUCGGUUGGCUGGGAGCUGAGCCAAAGCAUCUCAACAAGUACGCGGGGUUGUAUACCUCCAAGGGGAUCGAACCGGUGAAGUUCGUCAUCCCGGUGAAGGAGCUCUUGGGUUUUGAUCUGGGGAGGAGGGUACAGGAUAAGAUUGCUCGGUUCACUACAGAGCUUGUUUCUUGGUGCUCGCAGACUGAGGAAGAUGGCAGAGAGCGUUGUCUGCUCUUUCACACCUUCAGCAAUACGGGUUGGCUAACCUAUGGAAGCAUACUUGAGAACUUGCAAACAAGGCCUGAUAUAAUUGAGAAGAUCAAAGGAUGUGUUAUCGACUCUGGAGCUGACCCUGAGAUAAGCCCUCAGGUGUGGGCUGCAGGAUUUUCUGCUGCUUUGCUGAAAAAGCGUAGCUCCUUGAUAAGCUCUUCUGAUGAAAAUAAUGGAGUAGCCAAACCGGAUAUGAAAAUGAAUGGAACGGGCACAAAGGACAAUAGUUCCUCUUUUGCUGAAAUUUUAACAUUAUCACUUCUAGAAAAGUUUUUCACAUUGGUUCUAAUGCUGCCUGACGUAAACCAGAGGCUGAGGAAGACCAUCUCCAUACUGUGGAAUAAACAGCCGCUCUGUCCUCAGCUCUAUCUGUACAGUUCAGCUGACAUGGUCAUUCCAGUCAACUCAGUAGAAAACUUUAUCAAGGAGCAGAAGACCUCAGGAAGAAUUGUACAUGCUCAUGAUUUCGGUUCAUCCCCACAUGUUGACCAUCUAAGGAGCUACCCUCAUAUGUAUUCUGCCAAAAUUACUGAGUUCAUGGAAGAGUGCUGCACUGUGGUGCCACAGGUGAUUUCUUUCCAAAAAAAAGGAAACUUUUAUUAAGUUAAAUAUCUAUUACAUCCCAUACCUUUCCUCCUCAGAGCACAGAAUAGAAUACAAAAAGUAUGGCCAGUUAGAUCUCCACACCUGAUCAACUUAAAAAUCCUUAUCUUGUACAGCUAGGGAAUGAGAACUCCUGUUACCCUGUCUACAAACAUGGACACAAGGCUAGAGAGGACACUAAAAGAAAGGAAUUGCACAUGCUUUGCAGGAGGGCAUGGCCAAACUGGAAAUUGAAAAUGUUCUACAAAUCCUCUGGAUUCUAUCCGUCACUCGAGUUCCUUCCUAUUUUUGCUGUCUUUCUGGCCUUUGUGACAAUGUUUUACAGAUUAGUCAUCUGAAUUCACUUUCUUUCCUCCAAAAGAAGAUAAAAAAGUUUCUUCCUA